rnacentral:rRNA from 1 species
UACGGGGGGGGCAAGCGUUGUUCGGAAUUACUGGGCGUAAAGGGCGCGUAGGCGGUCUUGUCAGUCCCUUGUGAAAUCCCCCGGCUCAACUGGGGAACUGCACGGGAAACAGCAGGGCUUGAGUUCGGGAGAGGGAAGCGGAAUUCCGGGUGUAGCGGUGAAAUGCGUAGAUAUCCGGAGGAACACCGGUGGCGAAGGCGGCUUCCUGGACCGAUACUGACGCUGAGGCGCGAAAGCUAGGGGAGCAAGCGGG